rnacentral:rRNA from 1 species
UGAACAUUGAGCCUUGAUGUGUAGGAUAGGUGGGAGGCUUUGAAGUGUGGACGCCAGUCUGCAUGGAGCCGACCUUGAAAUACCACCCUUUAAUGUUUGAUGUUCUAACGUGGACCCGUAAUCCGGGUUGCGGACAGUGUCUGGUGGGUAGUUUGACUGGGGCGGUCUCCUCCUAAAGAGUAACGGAGGAGCACGAAGGUUGGCUAAUCCUGGUCGGACAUCAGGAGGUUAGUGCAAUG